UACGGAGGGUGCGAGCGUUGUCCGGAAUCACUGGGCGUAAAGGGCGCGUAGGUGGCGACGCAAGUCAACGGUGAAAGCUCGACGCUCAACGUCGAGUCGGCCGUCGAUACUGCAUCGCUGGAGCACUGUAGAGGCAGAUGGAAUUCCGGGUGUAGCGGUGGAAUGCGUAGAGAUCCGGGAAGAACACCGGUGGCGAAGGCGGUCUGCUGGGCAGUUGCUGACACUGAGGCGCGACAGCG
rnacentral:rRNA from 1 species